UACAACUUUUAGCAACGGAUAUCUUGGCUCUUGCGACGAUGAAGAACGCAGCGAAAUGCGAUACGUAAUGCGAAUUGCAGAACGCGAGUCAUCAAAUCUUUGAACGCACCUGGCACUUCU
rnacentral:rRNA from 1 species